rnacentral:rRNA from 1 species
GGUUCCUACGGGGGGCAGCAGUGGGGAAUAUUGCACAAUGGGGGAAACCCUGAUGCAGCGACGCCGCGUGAGUGAGGAAGUAUUUCGGUAUGUAAAGCUCUAUCAGCAGGGAAGAAAAUGACGGUACCUGACUAAGAAGCCCCGGCUAACUACGUGCCAGCAGCCGCGGUAAUACGUAGGGGGCAAGCGUUAUCCGGAUUUACUGGGUGUAAAGGGAGCGUAGACGGAUAAGCAAGUCUGAAGUGAAAGGCGGGGGCCCAACCCCCGGACUGCUUUGGAAACUGUAUAGCUGGAGUUCAGGAGAG